rnacentral:rRNA from 1 species
GAUGAACGCUAGCGGCAGGCCUAACACAUGCAAGUCGAACGGUGUCUUCGGACAUAGUGGCGCACGGGUGCGUAACACGUAUGCAACCUACCUUACAUUGGGGGAUAGCCUUUCGAAAGGGAGAUUAAUACCGCAUAAGACAGUAGCUGGGCAUCCAGCAGCUGUUAAAGAUUUAUCGAUGUAAGCUGGGCAUGCGUCCAAUUAGCUAGUUGGUGAGGUAACGGCUCACCAAGGCAAUGAUUGGUAGGGGAACUGAGAGGUCAAUCCCCCACACUGGCACUGAGAUACGGGCCAGACUCCUACGGGAGGCAGCAGUAGGGAAUAUUGGGCAAUGGACGCAAGUCUGACCCAGCCAUGCCGCGUGCAGGAUGAAGGCGUUAUGCGUUGUAAACUGCUUUUAUACAGGAAGAAACGACUCUUGCGAGAGGCAUUGACGGUACCUGCAGAAAAAGCACCGGCUAACUACGUGCCAGCCGCCGCCGUAACAC